AGGAAAAAGAGUGGAAAGGAAAGAAGGGGCGUAAGCAGGCGGAACCUGUGGCCUUAAAUAGAAUGAUGAUGCACAGGAGAUGCAAAUCGGGAGUGCGCAGACUGGUUGUGCUGCGUGAGACGCACGCUUCGGUAGGGAGGCCCCCUCCCCGCUCCCUCCCCCCGGCUCCGCCUCCGGAGUGGACCCCUCCGCCCUCUCCUGAGCGCUUCCGCUCACGAGUGCAGCACGUGGAAACCUCCAGCGACUUGGGUCUGCAACGUGUGUAAGAGAAUCAUUGUGUGACACUGUGGAUCGUCUACCUCUCGCGGCGGCCCCAGGACUCGUGACUCCCUGGUCUCUGUUUCACCCUCCCCCUCUCCAAGUUGGAGGAGGGUGGGGACUGCCGCCGAGAACACCGCGUUCUCUCCCGGGCGCCCACUGGGGCGGCUCCUCCAGCCCUUUCUUUACAUAACCUGCCACGCACGUUACGAGCUCAGAUGCCAGUCCGCUAGGACUCGCGGGCUGUUCCUGACUUUUCCACCCAGGCUCCCAGGGAUCCUGAGUCGUGAGUUGACGAUUCAGAGUACACGCAACAAAGUGGGUUUUUUCAUGCCAAAGGAAAGGACAAAAUCUCACAACCAAGUUUCCCCACAGCCUCUCUGCACCAUGCUAAAGAAGACCUCAAUACCCAAAAGCUCUGGAAGAGGAGUGGACUUACCCAGGAUAAGUGACACAGCAAGGAUGGCUACUAAGAGGACAUUCAUUCUGAGUUCUGCACUAUUGCUGUGAAAGUAAAAAAGGAAAUUACAGCGUUUCCCACCAAACUUACCCCGCCCCUCUCCCCUCAAAGUAGGGAGGGAGCAGCAGCAACUCUUUCCCCUGGGGGCAGCAUUCCCUGCGCACUUGCAGACUGAGUAGAUCCUCAGUUACUAAGGGUCCUCAGCCAAAGCUGCUUUUUUUAGGAGAAGCAUAAGUGGAUUCUGACGUGAACAUGUUUAUUGAGCUCCCCCAGCUCUGGAUUAGAUUCGUCUAGAACUCCAACUGCCACUACCAAAAACAGCCAAUCAAGAAGCUUCCUC